rnacentral:rRNA from 1 species
UACGUAGGGUGCGAGCGUUAAUCGGAAUUACUGGGCGUAAAGCGUGCGCAGGCGGUUUUGUAAGCCAGAUGUGAAAUCCCCGGGCUUAACCUGGGAAUGGCAUUUGGGACUGCAAGGCUCGAGUGCGGCAGAGGAGACUGGAAUUCCUGGUGUAGCAGUGAAAUGCGCAGAUAUCAGGAGGAACACCAAUGGCGAAGGCAGCACUCUGGGACGUGACUGACGCUGAGACGCGAAAGCGUGAGGAUCAAACAGG